GGAGGAGUUCCAGAGUGGUCAAAUGGGGCAGACUGUAAAUCUGUUGCUUCGGCUUCAUUGGUUCGAAUCCAAUCUCCUCCACCA
rnacentral:tRNA from 1 species